GGCUGUGGGUGUGGUACUGAGGCUUCAGCGGGUGCCGCCCGCCUAGAGGGAGUGGAGCGGUGAGCACGUCAGGGGUGGGGGGCGCAGGUCAAGCUUUCACCAGUUUUUAAUUCUUUGAUGGGGUAAAUUUGAGCAAUUUUCUCGACUUGUCGACAUUCGUUAUUAACUGAGCAGGAAUUAGGAGAGGAAGCCGGUCCUCUCCACACAGCCCAGCAGGUACGCCGCCCAUGUGCCUGUGGAGAAGAGGUUCCUGUGGGGCAGACAGGGGUGGACCAAGUAGCUGUGAGAUUUCUUCUGAAGAAAACACACAAGGAGGAAGCGAGUGAGCUCAGUGGAGGAGGGGCGCUACCCCAGGGGAGGUCCCCAUGCAUGGGCUUGUGAACCUCGAAUAUGUGAGACGGUCUCAGUCAAUUUAGAAAGUUUAUUUUGCCAAGGUUGAGGACGCACGCCCGUGACACAGCCUCAGGAGGUCUUGACAUGUGCCAAAGGUGGUCGGGACACAGCUUGCUUUUAUACAUGUUAGGGAGACAGGAGACAUCAAUAUAUGUAAGAUGAACGUUGGUUCCCUCGGGAAAGGCGGGACAACUCGAAGCAGGGAGGGGGCUUCCAGGUCACAGGUAGGUGAGAGACAAACUGUUGUAUUCUUUUGGGUUUCUGAAUAGCCUCCGCAAAGGAGGCUAUCACAUAUUAACCUAUCUCAGUGAGCAGAGGGGUGACUUUGAAUAGAAGGGGAGGCAGGUUUGCCCUAAGCAGUUCCCAGCUUUUUUCCCUUUAGCUUAGUGAUUUUGGGGCCCCCAGAUUCAUUUUCCUUUCACAGGCUAGACAGCUUUAGGAACUGAAAGGUUCACGAGGCUGUAACGAAGAUUCGAGUUGCUCCAGGUGAGCCUGGGCCACAACAGCACGCAGGACCUGGGGGCCCACGAGGGGCUCCUGGGAGGGUUCGGGAAAGGGAUCUGUGAACCCUAUCUGAGAUGGUUUCAGGUAAUUUAGAAAGACGUGCACCCGUGAGACAGCCUCAGGAGGUCUUGACGACAUGUGCCCAAGGUGGUCAGGGCACAGCUUGGUUUUAGGGAGACAUGAGACAUCAAUCAAUAUAUGUAAGAAGUACGUUGCUUCCAUCCAGAAAGUUGGGGACAACUGGAAGCAGGGAGGGGGCUUCCAAGGUCACAGGUAGGUGAGAGACAAAGGUUGCAUUGUUUUGAGUUUCUGAUUAGCCUCUCCAAAGCAGGGAAUCAGAUAUGCACGUAUCUUAGUGAGGAGAUAGGUGACUUGGAAUAGAAAGGGAGGCAGGUUUGUCCUGAGCAGUUCCCAGCUUGACUUUUCCUUUAGCUUAGUAAUUUUGGGGCCCCCAGAUUUUCCUUUGAGAGAGCCUACGACUAGAUUUGCAUCUUUACGUCCUGCGCGGAGGCUGCUACACACAUGCAGAAGUCAUGCUGGUGGCCUGGACAGUGAAGGGAGAGAAGUGGAUUUGGGAGACAUUUAGGAGGUGCUGUUGUAGGAGCAAGGGAUACAAUGAUGAUCAAGGCAGAUGCAGCCGUUACCUUCAGGUUGUGGAGUCCGGAUACAGACUGGAGGCAGACAGCUGUAAGAUGUGUGACAAAUGCUGCGCUGGAUCAGCCCAUGGUAUUAGGAGAGCAGGCUCCGGAAGAUUGCAAAUGACCUGCUUUCUUUGGGAUCCCGGGCUGCUUUCGGACACCUGUCGAAUAGUAAAUCCCAAGUAAGGUACCUGCGGUCGUCGGCAGAUCUGAGUUUUCUUCUUGGACACCUAAUACCCACAGCCCUCCAGAGACCGUGAGGUUGAUGUCACUCCCAAUAUCGGAGGAAGUAUGCACCCCCGUGUGAGAUGGUCCUUAAUAAUAUUCCACGGCGGAGGGGGUGAUAUGACUACAUACAUGGCAGAAAGUGGAAACCCCCCAGGGAUAUUAUUCCCACGAUCCUGGAGGGAAGAAGAUGAUGUUACUUUCAAUAUGACAGAAGGUGGAUGAAGUGGUGGACUGCCCCUCCACACCUGUGGACACGCCCCCACUGAUAUUCCUUCUAAUUGCAACGUGGGAGAGGAGGAUAUGACAGGCGAUAUCGCAGGGAGUAGAAACACCCCUGUGAUACUGUUCUUCAUAUUCAGGGAUGAAGAGGAUGAUAUUACUCCCAAUACAGACGGGUGUACACCCUCUGUACACCGAGGGUGUACACCCAUCUGUGAAAGAGUUCGUAAUCUCCAGAGGGGGAGAUGAUAUUACUCACAAUAUGGGAAAGAGGCUGUGAGUCCACGGAGGAUCCUCAGAGCCAGCGGGGGAAGAGGGGCUGGCUCUCAGUCCCCACCUCAGGUGGGUGACUACCCCCACUGCGAUGGGGGUCCUAAGAGCCAGUGGGGGAAGAGGGGCUGGCUCUGAGACCCCGCCUCGCGGGGGGUGCCUCCCCUUCCUGCGAUGGGGGUCCUAAGAGCCAGCGGGGGAAGAGGAGCUGGCUCUCAGUCUCCGCCUCGCGAGGUGCCUCCCCACCUUGUCAUCGGGGUCCUAAGAGCCAGGGGGGAAGAGGGGCUGGCUCUCUUUGUGGAUGAUUCUUUUUCCAUUCUCAUGCACUUUUCUUUUUUCUUUCUUUUUUUUUUUUUGAGACUGAGUCUUGCUCUGUUGCCCAUGCUUUGCUGGAUCUCGGGUGACUGCAACCACUGCCUCCCAGGUUCAAGAGAUUCUCCUGCCUCAGCCUCCUGAGUAGCUGGGACUAGAGGCGUGUGUCAGCACACCCAGCUAAUUUUUGUAUUUUUAGUAGAGAUGGGGUUUCACCAUGUUUGCCAGGAUGGUCUCUAUCUCCUGACCUUGUGAUCCACCCACCUCAGCCUCCCAAAGUGCUGGGAUUGCAGGUGCGAGCCACCGGGUCCAGCCUCUCAGGCGAUUUUCAUACCUGCAUACUCUGAUCACUACUCUGUUAAACAGUCAAGGAGGCUGAGUGCCACGUGCUGACAUCACUAAGAUCAAUACAGCAAACUCUGAAAGAUGGACAGAGAGACAGGAGAUGGUCCUUUAUAAUGCAGUGUGAUCUGUGCUGCAAUAGAGAUGGAAGAGUGUUCUGAUCGGCUGGAAAACAACGCACAUGGGAAGCUGUACAGAAAUGAGUGGGGAAAGUUUUGGAAGCUAGAAGUUCAAAACGAGGUGUUGGCAGCACCAUGCUCUCUCUGAAGAUGCUAGGAAGAAUCUGCUCCAUGCCUUUCCAUUCGCUUCUGGGGUUUCCUGCAAGCUCUGACAUUCCUUGGCUUGUAGAUGCAUCACCCCAGUUUCCGCCCCCAUCAUCACAUGGCCUCCUCUCUGCGUGUGCCUCUGCAUUCCCUCUAUUCUUCUUCUAAGGACACCGACACCAGUCAUAGUGGAUUAAGGGUCCACUCCUAACUAAUUACAUCUGCAACAACCCUAUUUCCAAAUAAAGUCACUUUCUAAGAUUCCUAGGGAGAACAUGAAUUUUUGGGGGUGUGUGGAUACUGUUCAACCUGGGACAUGGAGUAAAUAAA